CUUAAAUAUGGCAAUCUCACAUAAGGGAAACAAUUUAAGACGUCAUCUACUAAACAGCUGAGUGAUCAAAAGUAAAAACAAGUCCUUUUCUUAAUUUUUAUCUUUCAGCUGUUUAGUAAAUAAUAUCCUAAUUUGGUAUCCCUAUGUGAAUUUGCCAUAAAUAUACCAAAUUGAAGAGAUAUCUAAUUUUAAAAAAAUACACUUUCACACACACAUUCAGUUUUUUUUUUUAUUUCGAAGUCCAUCUACCUGUGUCUGGGAGAGCUGGAGUGAAUUGUGGGACUGUUCUCUUCCUGCAUAGCUUUUAUCCUCGUAUUG